CGAGGCUCGGAGCGCGGACGCGGCUAGGAGUCUUGGACAUGGACUUCCGCGUCCCGCUUCCUCUCGAUUUCCAGCAGCGCGGUCUUGAAUCCCCAUCACCACCCACUGCCUCCCGCCUCCGCCGGGCCUGGCUUUCCAGCUGUCACCACCGAACCGCGCCGGCCAACAUCCCGCACCUGUGAGCCAGCGCAGUGACCGGCGCACGCCAACCACGUCGCAGACUUGCUUACGUCACAGCUAUGGCGGCUCAUGGACCAAUCGGAGCUGGCUGUCGAGAGAAACAGUAAUUUUAACCAAUAGCAUCCUUCCGAUCACCCUCAGCCCGCCCAAUUACAAGGACCAGGCCAGAACGCAGGACCUUGGAACUCAGGACCUUGUGCCUCAUCUCCAAUUCAUUCAUUUUUUCCCCUUUCUUUUGUCUUUUUGAGACAGGGUCUCGCUGUGCAGUUCAGGCUGGCCUUGAGCUCACUUUGUAGCCCAGGCUGGUCUUGAACUUGCAACAAUCCUCCUGCCUCAGCCUCCUGAGUGCUGGGAUUACAGGAGUGCGCCAUCACACCUGGCUCAUUCCCAAUUCUUUCAAAAAAAAAUUUUUUUUAUAGUGACACAGGGUUUUCUUAAGUCAAUAAAUUGCCCAGGCUGGACUCAACUUGAGGUUUCUCCUGCCUCAGCCUCCCCAAGUGAUGGCAAGCCCAGCUCAAGAUGCAGCAGUGGCACUGUGUAAGCUGCUGGGUCACUAGGCGGUGACAGGGGUUAUAAAGCUGGCAGGGCUCCAGCGGAUGGUUUUGCUGGCUGUGAUCACUCUGCCCAGGGCCCAGUGGUUUUCUUUUUCUUUUGCAUGGGGAAUCGAACUCAGGGCCUAACACAUGGCAGGCAGGCACUUAUACCUGCUGAGCUAGAUCCCCCCUCCCACCUCUUUUUCUUUUUUGAGACAGGGUUUUGUGAUGUAGUUGGGGCUGGCCUUGAGAUCACUAUGUAGUCCAGGCUGGCUUCAAACUUGGGGUGAUCCUCCUGUCUCAGCUUCUCAAGUGCUGGGAUAACACGUGUGUGCCACCAUGACCGGCUCCACUCAGGCUUAGGAGGUUAGGACCUGGCGUCCUCAGUGCCCACUCCUGACAAUCCCAGAGAGAUUAGUAACAGUGUCUGUCUUGGGGUGGGAGUGGG
ensembl:lincRNA